rnacentral:lncRNA from 1 species
GUGACGGCGAAUGUGGGGGCGGCUCCCAACAGUCACCCAUCCAUUAGUGGCUCAUGUGUUCUUAAGACAAACUCAGCAGGCUGUACCUGUCCAGAGCUCCCUCACGAGAUUCUUGUGAAACAAAAGGAGCUCCUCUCUAGAAGAUCUUGAAAAGUCAAGUGUGGGGAGGCAACCGCAGAGCCCUACUUCCUGGAUGGGAAGACGGAUGCUGAGGAAGGUGCCGCCUUGUAACCAGAUGUUAUCCAUCCACACUGGACGGGAGGAAAUGAGCCUCAGGGGCCCUGGGAAUUCUGGCCAGAUUUAUAAGAACAUCUUCAAAUGUAGAAGCUUCAGAGUCCUUGGGAGUGUCCGCAGGAAUUGGUGAGCUCGGAAGGACCUCUCUGGAGUCCACCAAUAUCAAGUCGAUUGCCAAGCAUCCUGAUACUUACCUGUUUACUCAGCUGUCAGCUAUGUGCCAAGCGCAGAUACCCUUAAGUUGUAUGUGGCGGUUGUCAAUGUCUUCCCAAAGAAGAGACACACACCUGCUUGUUCACAGAGCUCUGCAAUCAGAUGAUGGGCGUGGACCAAAAGGAGUCUGCAGAACCAUCGAUAGCCUUCUGGGAGUCUUAUCAGAUGAGACUCAGUUCCGCUUCUGGACCCCUGACUCCUCCUCAGGGCCUUCUUUGGAAUCAUGGCAUGAUGACGUCCCUCGUCCUCAUCUCUUUGCCCUCAUACCCUCAUAUGAUCCUCUAUUAGACACGCCGAGGAGACUGACCUGCUUAUCCAUGCUACUUAUCAGGAACUGUGGAACCAUGGAGAACAUGACCCUGGCCCUCCCUUCAGGAUCUGCCUGAGAUCUGGCUGCCUCUUGAGACACUAGAGCCCUGGAUUCAAUUGCGGAACAUUAUGUUGGAGAAUAUAAACACUUCUAGACUGUGCCGGCAUUUGGGAAGGAAUAGUCUGUUUUGACUUGAAUGAACAAAGACAUACGUCUCUGGGCCUGGGGAAGGCUUACCAGCUCAGCUCAUCUACUGUCUGGUGGCAAACAUGUCCUGGGUACUGCCACUACCCAGGACACUCUUCCUCACUCUGUCCCUGUCCAGUUACCGCACCCUUCCCUGUCUGACCCCGCCUCCUGUGCCCACUCGCCUCUGGACCCAGAGAUUCUUCUUGUUUGCUCUAUCAUCCUUGAGCCGGAUACAGGGUGAAUAGUUAACCACACUUGGGUUGAAUGGGAUCUUGAUUCUUAUUUCUGUUCCUUGGAAAGAGGGGUCAGACUCGGUGCGUGGCACCCGGCCUGGAAGCAGCACAAGACUCCAGAGUGAUACAUGAUCUGCCUGGAUGGUCCCAGGGGCUCUUUGGAGGUCAGAGCAAGAGGAGCAGCCUGAGCAGGGGGGCUGAGGAGGGCCGGCACUGGAUCACACGCAGGCGUAUGUCUGGAUAGGCAGAGAGGAACCCACUUUUCAUUCCCUCUUCUGUGACACAAAUGCAAGGAACUUUGAAGACACUCUUCGGAGGUUGCAAUCGGAGAUCAGCUUAUCCAAGGGCUUCAUGUCUGAGCUCUGUUGGUCGUGCCUCCUGAGGACCUCUUUCCUCUACUGUAUGCUGAUGACACACCCAUCCGAUGGGAGCUGGAGCCUUGUCUGGUCCUUUCCUCUAUGACCCCACGUGUACAGUUGGAAAUCCUUCCUAAUCAUGCCUUGAUUCCCCCUUUUCGACUACACUCAAAGAUGUUUGAGCUGUUUUAUUUGCAAAAUGGAUGGACAGUUUGUUUAUAUAAAACAAUCCCAGCUUCCUUGUGCUCUAUCUGGUGUGUUUGUAUGGCUCUUCAGUGACUUUAAAGUGGAGCAUUGACCUUGGCCUCUUUGAUUCUCCAUGGUGGAAUAGAGAAGACCUCUUGAGGAUGCUUAAUGUUGCUGAGAUCUUAAGAAGGCUUGCAGACUUCCUCUUCCUCCCUCCUUCUCCCACCUCCUCCUUCCCUAAGCAGCCUCUGCAUUGUAUAAAUUCCUUUAUAUAAA